ACACUAUAUAAUCAAUCUGCCUUAGCUAUUAUGACAAAGACACCUACCUCGCCUAGAUCCAAGCCCUACCUGAUAUCUUUAUGAAGAUCUGAGAAGCAUAGGCAAUAGAUCCGAAACUCAUCGAGAGCCUGGAUAAGUUUACUUUGGACGAAUCUCCUAAUUUUAGGAUCUCUAAUGAUGGAUUAUUCAGAUUCUGAAAUCAAAUUUGGGUCCCUGAUGUAGUACGCACAAAUGUACUCAAGACUGCCCAUGCUUCUAGUUAUCCAUCCAUUCCGAAAAUACCAAGAUGUACUAGGACUUGAAGCAACAAUAU
rnacentral:lncRNA from 1 species